rnacentral:rRNA from 1 species
UACAGAGGGUGCGAGCGUUACUCGGAAUUACUGGGCGUAAAGCGUGCGUAGACGGUAGCGUAAGUCAGAUGUGAAAGCCCCGGGCUCAACCUGGGAACUGCAUUUGAGACUGCUCUGCUCGGGUGCGGAAGAGGGAAGCGGAAUUUCCGGUGUAGCGGUGAAAUGCGUAGAUAUCGGAAGGAACACCAGUGGCGAAAGCGGCUUCCUGGUCCGACACCGACGUUCAGGCACGAAAGCGUGGGGAGCAAACAGG